GACGAACGCUGGCGGCGUGCUUAACACAUGCAAGUCGAACGGUGAAGCGCCUUCCUUUUAGGAAGGUGUGGAGGAGUGGCCAACGGGUGAGUAACACGUGAGUAACCUGCCCCCUUCUUCUGGAUAACCGCAUGCGAGUGUUGCUAAUACGGGAUAUUCUGGGUCUGUAGCAUGAUGGGUCUGGGAAGGAAUUUGUUUCGGCGGGGGAUGGGCGCGCGUCCUUUAAGUUUGUUGGUGGGGUGAUGGCCUACCAGGGGGGUGACGGGUAGCCGGCUUGGGAGGGUGGACGGUCACAGUGGGAGUGAGACCCGGACCAGACUCGGAAGGGAGGCAGCAGGAGGGAAUAGUGCACAAUGGGAGCAAGCCUGAGGCAGCGACGCCGCGUGAGGGAUGGAGGCCGUCGGGUUGUGAACCUCUGUCGCGAGUGAAGCAGGCGUGACUCGUUUGUGCGUGGGUUGACGGUAGCUGGAUAAGAAGCGACGGCUAACUACGUG
rnacentral:rRNA from 1 species